rnacentral:rRNA from 1 species
CAGCAGCCGCGGUAAUACGUAGGGUCCGAGCGUUGUCCGGAAUUACUGGGCGUAAAGAGCUCGUAGGUGGUUUGUCGCGUUGUUCGUGAAAACUCACAGCUUAACUGUGGGCGUGCGGGCGAUACGGGCAGACUAGAGUACUGCAGGGGAGACUGGAAUUCCUGGUGUAGCGGUGGAAUGCGCAGAUAUCAGGAGGAACACCGGUGGCGAAGGCGGGUCUCUGGGCAGUAACUGACGCUGAGGAGCGAAAGCGUGGGGAGCGAACAGGAUUAGAUACCCCAGUAGUCCCUGUCUCUUAUAC